CCUGCCGAAUCAACUAGCCCC
rnacentral:sRNA from 1 species